rnacentral:rRNA from 1 species
AACGAACGCUGGCGGCGCGCUUAACACAUGCAAGUCGAACGAGAAGCUGUAGCAAUACAGUUGUAAAGUGGCAAACGGGUGAGUAAUGCGUGGGUAAUCUACCCUAGGGUGGGGAAUAACUCCUCGAAAGGGGAGCUAAUGCCGACAUGUGCGCCAUUCUCGCAAGGGAGUGAUGGAAAGCCGUACCGUGGGUGCGGCGCCCAAGGAUGAGCUCACGUCCAUCAGCUUGUUGGCGGGGUAACGGCCACCAAGGCUGCGACGGGUAGCUGGUCUGAGAGGACGACCAGCCACACUGGCACUGCGACACGGGCCAGACUCCUACGGGAGGCAGCAGUGGGGAAUCUUGCGCAAUGGGCGAAAGCCUGACGCAGCGACGCCGCGUGGGUGAUGAAGGCCUGGUU